AUAAAUAAUUUAAUGCCUAAUUUCGAAAUAAUAAAAUAUCUUUAACAUUAAUCAAAUUAAAAACAUUAUAUAGUUAAGUAAAGGUGAUUAAAAUUUAAUUUAUUGGCUAACGCAAUAGUACUGAGAAGGAACAUGUAAUGAAUUAGAAAAAAGAAGAUAGAGACUCGUACCUUUUGUAUCAUGGUUUAGUAACAAAUAAACUUUAAAGCAAAGUAUCUCGAAACUUAAUGAGCUAUCUUAAUUUAUUAUAUUAGUAAUAGAGAGAGUAGUUGUGGCAAAAACUUUUUAAAAAGUUAGGAUAGAAAUGAGAUUUUUUUCGCAUUAAGUGAUAGCUAGUUUUUCUAUAAAAGUAUAGAAGUACUUGAGACUGAGAGAUUUUAAAACAGAAAGUUAACUUGUGUUGUAAAUAUCCAGUUUUAACAGAUUUUAGAGGAUAAGCUCUAAAAUGGGACUUGAAGCCCUAUAAAAAUUUCUUACUAGAUUUAAGCUUGAAAAUAGCUUUAAUAUUAAGAUUUUGUUAUAAUUUCAUUUUAAACUAAAAAAUAAGAUUAAUUUAUUUUUUAUUAAUAGAAAUAAUGUUAAAAAUAAUAAAUAACAUAAAUGAAUGCUAAAAUGAGUAUUUUAACUCUUUAUAAGUUUCUUUGAUUAAUUAAAUUAAAUCAAGGCAAUAUAAAUAAAUUUGAGUAGUAAAAUUAAAUUAUAUAAAGGAAUUCGGCAAAGAUUUGUUCCGCCUGUUUAUCAAAAACAUGGCUCCUUGAUUAUUUAUGAUAGGGAGUCGGACCUGCCCGGUGAAUAUAUUUUAACGGCCGCGGUACUCUGACCGUGCAAAGGUAGCAUAAUCAUUUGCCUUAUAAUUGAAGGCUAGUAUGAAUGGUUUGACGUGAACAAAGCUGUCUCUAUAUAAUUUUUUAGAACUUGAUUUCUAGGUGAAGAAACCUAGAUAAUAUUGAAAGACAAGAAGACCCUAUUGAGCUUUAAAAAAGUAAAUUGAAGAAAUAUAUAAGUUUAAAUAUUAAUCUAUUUUAGAUUUUGGUUGGGGCGACUAUAGAACAAACAAAGCUUCUUUAUGUUAAUAAAACUAACAGGUGUUGAUCCAAAAAUUUUGAUUGAUGAAAUUAGUUACCAUAGGGAUAACAGCAUAAUUCUCUUUGAGAGCUCUUAUCGAAAAGAGGGUUUGUGACCUCGAUGUUGGAUUAGAAUAUCCUAAAGAUGCAGCAGUCUUUAAGGGUUGGUCUGUUCGACCAUUAAAAUUCUACAUGAUCUGAGUUCAGACCGGCGUGAGCCAGGUCAGUUUCUAUCUUCAAUUAUGAAAGGUUUGAGUUUAGUACGAAAGGACCAAUUCAAGAUAAAAUUUAUGAUAAAAGAUGCAAUAUAAUUUAAACAUAAAUGAUUUUAUAUUUACAGAU
rnacentral:rRNA from 1 species